GUACUAAACAUGUUCAAAAUAGUCAUUGUGUUUGUGUAAAUAGUUUAAAAAGAAAAGAAAAGCAGUACAGAUUAUAUAUUUCAUUUUUUCUUGUGUUUUUUGCAAGAAGGUCACUUCAAAGUGAUUAAAGGAUAUACUGAGGGAGAAGUGUACAGGUGAGGGUGGAGUAGAGGAUUGGAAGGGGCCCGCCCACGGGACGAGAGAGAACAGCGGAGAUGCGGGAGUAGCAGCGCGGGAGAGGCGAGGAGGAAAAAGUUCCUCACAGGCUGAACUAAAUUCACUAAUAAUCAGUAUUAAUUAAACUAACCGGUAAUUUUAAGGACACUGAAGUCCAUACUGAGAGUGUGCUGGUGGAUAAAGCUGGAAUAAUCUCUCUGUAAGUAAAGUUCUGUUAGCACUGUUAGCUUAGCCAGCUCGGCUAGCUGUGUUUAGCCUCGUGUAUUAGCUGCUCUGCGCUAGCCGUGAACUCUCCGCUGCAGCGCCGCUCCGACAGACUGUUCCCCGGACUGACUCGCGCUCUCUCCGCCUCCACUGAACACCAGGACCGCUAACACUGCUAACCAGAGAGCGCUCUGAGUCUCCGCGUGGAUCAGAGUUCCUCUGAGGGAAAACGCUCCGUGCUGCAGGACCCCGCGCUCUGCUCCCGCUCAUAUUCACUGAAUCUGAGCGUGGUCUUCCGCGAUGAAGUCUGUGAGGUGCCAGACGAAGCCAGUCUCUGAUCGCCUUUUCUGCAUCAGCUUCACUUGGAUUGGACAGCUGGGGAUUUCUCAUCGCAGACGCUGUACUCACUCCCCACCCUGACUCCUCCUCAGGUUCCCUCCAAACGAGAAAUUCGCAUAUGGAGACAGGUAAGGGACAUCGUAAUGAAAGUCAUUUUUAGUGUCUUUAAAUUUGUCCCCAGAAACUUUUAGGAGCCAUGGUGAUGAAUCAGGCCAGCUGAUAUCAUCACACAGUGUCAAGCUUGUAAAAAUAAAACAACUUUAUUUGUUACAUACAAUCAUGUUCAAAAAGGCUCUACUCAAAACCAUACAUAACAUAUUCUCUUUCAAUCUGAAGAACCACUAUGCCAUGCAAAGAACCAUUUAAGGCUGAAAUGCUAUUGUGAGAGCCUAAACUUUGAAAAAAUGCUGACACAGCAUUAAACCUACAGGAUAUUUUUGAUACCCUAUGUUAGCCUCUUAGAUAACGCUACCAACAUUAAAAAAGUAGGAUCUUUUGACAGUCUAAAAACCAUAUCGGUGUUAAGUAGUAAUAUUGAGCUACAUUCUUUAACUGUAUACCAGCAAGUUAUACUUACAUAUGGAGAGGAAUUAGUGCCAAAUUGAAAAGCAGUCACUACACUACAGUGCCUUUUCACAGUAAAAAGCAAAGUGACAGUAUACAUGGAUUUACAUUUUAAAGCAAAUUGCUUUAUUUGUGUAAUUCAAUACAUGCCACUUUAAAAUGCAAUCAGUUCAACUGUUUUGUAUUCCACUGUGUUUUGGCUGUGAACGUUCCAAACACAGCACACUUUUGUCAGGAGCAGUGAAACACUCAUGCCGAGAGUUCACUCAGAAAGCAAAGUGAUUUUUCGCUAAAAUCCACCUGUUAAAACGCACGUUUUUCAAACCCCACUAACCAUUUUUUUUAAUGUGCUCUGAUUAACUUAACGUACACAUGUCAUGUUUUUCUGGAUGUGGAUACCAGCCAAUCAAGAUGCUUUAAACACUCAUUUUGGUUAAAUGUGAUUGAACUGUGAUUUUAUUUCAUUGUGGCAUGUAAAGAUAAUAUAAUAGUGGUUUAAGUUUUCGUUUUGCCACAUAUUCUGCAUUUCACAUUUUUCCAAUGACUGCUUUUAAAUUUGGCACUAAUUGCAUCUUAAGACUUAAGAGCGACACUAAAUUAAUUCAUAUAAUACGCAGUGCAGUUUCUUUCUAGAAAAGCCAUCUUAAACGUUCUUAAAAAGUCAUUUUACUCAGUGGUGUCCAAUUUUAUCUAGAAAGGGCCUCUUUGGCUGCAGAAGCACACAUGAUCGUUUUUUAAAGACUGAUACCAAUAUUAAGCCUCUGUGUUCACCACUGUUGUAAUUAUGUACAUAGAAAAUCACCAAACAAAGCUAUUUGAGAUUUAGUUUUUUUAUGGUAAAAUGUUUGGUAUACUUAUAUAUGGUCUUAUUUUGAUACUUACAUAUUACAAGUUCUUUGAUGCGAGAGUGCCCAAUUCCUUUUUUUUUCUCCUCUGCCACACCAGUUCAGAGAGACCGCCAGGUGGGGGGCAAAAACUUUCUCAUAAAUUCUCCAUAAUGUUUUUUUCAACGUUUGCCCCCCACCUAAUGACAGCUUUGACAUCUGUAGACAGACAGAUGAAUGUAACCAGGGACUAAAUUUAAGGUUUUUUAAGCUUACGAGAUAUGAGGACAAACAUUAAGGAGUUCAUAAGAGCGUUCUUUAAAGCAACCCUCACAUCAAAUAUAUUCUUAAGAAAUUCUUCAAUCUUCUUUUAAAAAUCUUGAUUUUCUGUUGUAUGCUCCUGUUGUUAUGUUAGCUUAUCACUAAUUAUGAGAUGCAGUUUGAAUGAAAUGUUAAUUGCAUUAACCAGUUAUAUACUUUUUCAGCUGCUGAGCAUAGGCAAAUUGAGGAAAAACAUAGUGAAUACAUUUUGAAAAGAAUAUAUAGAAAACAAGGAGCAAUGGUUGGGUAAAAAGCCUGAAGGGGAACUCCUUGAUACAUAUAUUUUUUACAUAAAGUUUUAUGAAACUCAUUGAAAGUUAUGUUUUAGAGAGUUGUCUUUUUACCUCUCACAGUUUAAGAAAAGUUUGAGUCUGCUGUAAGAAAAUAAUAAUAAUGUAUUUAUUUAGGAUUAUCUCUUGUUCUUAAUUUUGUACUCAAAAGAAAGAAAAGAUAAUUACUUUUUUCUUAAAGAAAUGUUUAUCUUUUACAAGAUGUUUACAAAAUGUUUACUCUGUGUGAGUUAAAAAAGGUAUAUUUCAAUACUGACCUUUUUUUUUUCUUGAGGCACGG